rnacentral:lncRNA from 1 species
UGCAAUGAUAAUGAAGGGCUCUGUUAUAAAAUAGGAAUGACGUCACAUAUGGCGCGUGUCAUUGGUGGAAGGCAAUCGUUCGAUUUAGUGCGGCGACGUACGCUAGGGGAGCGUUGUAAUAAAACCCGUUCGCUCUUGCGCGCUUUCUCUUUCGCUCGGGAGCGGACACUUUCCCUGCAUUUCACCGAUCACAAAGUGGUGAUAAUGAAGGGAGCAC